GAUGAAGAACGUAGCGAAAUGCGAUAAGUAAUGUGAAUUGCAGAAUUCAGUGAAUCAUCGAAUCUUUGAACGCACAUUGCGCCCCCUGGUAUUCCGGGGGGCAUGCCUGUUCGAGCGUCAUUUCACCACUCAAGCCUCGCUUGGUAUUGGGCAACGCGGCCCGCCGCGUGCCUCAAAUCGACCGGCUGGGUCUUCUGUCCCCUAAGCGUUGUGGAAACUAUUCGCUAAAGGGUGUUCGGGAGGCUACGCCGUAAAACAACCCCAUUUCUAAGGUUGACCUCGGAUCAGGUAGGGAUACCCGCUGAACUUAAGCAUAUCAAUAAGCGGAGGA
rnacentral:misc_RNA from 1 species